UACGUAGGGUGCAAGCGUUAAUCGGAAUUACUGGGCGUAAAGCGUGCGCAGGCGGUUUUGUAAGUCUGUCGUGAAAUCCCCGGGCUCAACCUGGGAAUUGCGAUGGAGACUGCAAGGCUAGAAUCUGGCAGAGGGGGGUAGAAUUCCACGUGUAGCAGUGAAAUGCGUAGAGAUGUGGAGGAAUACCAAUGGCGAAGGCAGCCCCCUGGCCUAAUACUGACGCUCAUGCUCGAAAGCGUGGGGAGCAAACAGG
rnacentral:rRNA from 1 species